UGUAGUCUUACCCGACGCCGUUCCUCCAGAAACCCCGAUGACGAAAGGCUGUUUAGGAGCAGUGGAAUCAAGAGGGGUAGGGGUUGAGAAAUGAGUGGGGGUAGGAGUAGCACGGGGAGAAGAUGAAGAAGAAGUGAGAAGUCCAUCAACUCGGAGACCGGAAAAGUGUGCACCAGAAGCUGCCUCCAUCACGUAAUCUAUCGCCGUUGUUUCCUCCGGCACCGGCGACAUAAUUGCUUUUUAUAUUUUUCUUUUUUCUUUCUUGUUUGCGAAAGCCAGA
rnacentral:misc_RNA from 1 species